rnacentral:tRNA from 1 species
GCGAUGUGGCUCAGUGGUAGAGUGCUUGCCUAGCAUGCAUGAGGCACUGGGUUCGAUCCUCAGCAACACA